GCAAAUAUAGUUUAAGAAAACGCCAGAUUGUGAUUCUGGAAUUAGGAGUUAAACCCCCCUUAUUGGCC
rnacentral:tRNA from 1 species